UGGGGAAUAUUGCACAAUGGGCGCAAGCCUGAUGCAGCCAUGCCGCGUGUGUGAAGAAGGCCUUCGGGUUGUAAAGCACUUUCAGCGAGGAGGAAGGUGGUGAGCUUAAUACGCUCAUCAAUUGACGUUACUCGCAGAAGAAGCACCGGCUAACUCCGUGCCAGCAGCCGCGGUAAUACGGAGGGUGCAAGCGUUAAUCGGAAUUACUGGGCGUAAAGCGCACGCAGGCGGUUUGUUAAGUCAGAUGUGAAAUCCCCGGGCUCAACCUGGGAACUGCAUUUGAAACUGGCAAGCUAGAGUCUCGUAGAGGGGGGUAGAAUUCCAGGUGUAGCGGUGAAAUGCGUAGAGAUCUGGAGGAAUACCGGUGGCGAAGGCGGCCCCCUGGACGAAGACUGACGCUCAGGUGCGAAAGCGUGGGGCAGCAAAACAGGAUUAGAUACCCUGGUAGUCCA
rnacentral:rRNA from 1 species